rnacentral:rRNA from 1 species
AUUAAACGUUGGCGGCAUGCCUUACACAUGCAAGUCGAACGGCAGCACGGGGCAACCUGGUGGCGAGUGGCGAACGGGUGAGUAAAGCAUCGGAACGUGCCCUGGAGUGGGGGAUAACGUAGCGAAAGUUACGCUAAUACCGCAUAUUCUGUGAGCAGGAAAGCAGGGGAUCGCAAGACCUUGCGCUCUGGGAGCGGCCGAUGUCGGAUUAGCUAGUUGGUGGGGUAAAGGCCUACCAAGGCGACGAUCCGUAGCGGGUCUGAGAGGAUGAUCCGCCACACUGGGACUGAGACACGGCCCAGACUCCUACGGGAGGCAGCAGUGGGGAAUUUUGGACAAUGGGCGCAAGCCUGAUCCAGCCAUGCCGCGUGAGUGAAGAAGGCCUUCGGGUUGUAAAGCUCUUUCGGCCGGGAAGAAAUCGCAUGGGUCAAUACCCUGUGUGGAUGACGGUACCGGAAUAAGAAGCACCGGCUAACUACGUG